GCAUAUCAAUAAGCGGAGGAAAAGAAAAUAACAAUGAUUCCCUUAGUAACGGCGAGUGAAGGGGGAUAAGCUCAAAUUUUAAAUCUACCAGGUUAACCUGGUCGAGUUGUAAUUUGAAGAAGCGUUUUCCGCGUCCGGGUCGGCCCAAAUCCUUUGGGAUAAGGUAUCAUGGAGGGUGAGAAUCCCGUUCGGCUGACCUUAGGAUGCUUUACGAUACGCUCUCAAAGAGUCGAGUUGUUUGGGAUUGCAGCUCAAAAUGGGAGGUAAAUUUCUCCUAAGGCUAAAUACCGGCGAGAGACCGAUAGCGAACAAGUACCGUGAGGGAAAGAUGAAAAGAACUUUGAAAAGAGAGUUAAAUAGUACGUGAAAUUGUUGAAAGGGAAACGAUUGAAGUCAGUCGUACCGGCGGGAAAUCAGCUUUUCGAGUGGGGUUCGCGGGUGCGUGGAGCUUCGGCCUUCGUCGCUUGUGACACCUUUUGCUUCUGGAGCGUACUUUUCCGUGUGGUAGGUCAACAUCGGUUUCGAUUGCCAUAAAAUGACCGGAGGAAUGUGGCUUCGAUCUUGUAUUGGAGUGUUAUAGCCUCUGGUAGAUGUGGUGGUUGGGAUCGAGGAUUGCAACGAAUACCCUUUGGGCUAUCCGCCUGACCUCUGAAAGUCGCUUGGGUACCGAAAGCUUGCUUACGGUCAUUCAAGUUGGCGGUCAAAAGGUUAGAACGCGAUUAAAUUCGUUAAGGAUGUUGACGUA
rnacentral:rRNA from 1 species